ACAUGACUCUCGGCAAUGGAUAUCUCGGCUCUCGCAUCGAUGAAGAGCGCAGCGAAAUGCGAUAUGUGGUGCGAAUUGCAGAAUCCCGCGAACCAUCGAGUCUUUGAACGCAAGUUGCGCCCGAGGCCAACCGGCCAAGGGCACGUCCGCCUGGGCGUCAAUC
rnacentral:rRNA from 1 species